UACGUAGGGUGCGAGCGUUGUCCGGAAUUAUUGGGCGUAAAGAGCUCGUAGGCGGUUUGUCGCGUCGGAUGUGAAACCCCGGGGCUUAACUCCGGGCCUGCAUUCGAUACGGGCUGACUAGAGUUCGGCAGGGGAGACUGGAAUUCCUGGUGUAGCGGUGAAAUGCGCAGAUAUCAGGAGGAACACCGGUGGCGAAGGCGGGUCUCUGGGCCGAUACUGACGCUGAGGAGCGAAAGCGUGGGGAGCGAACAGG
rnacentral:rRNA from 1 species